rnacentral:rRNA from 1 species
GACGAAGGGGGCUAGCGUUGUUCGGAAUUACUGGGCGUAAAGCGAGUGUAGGUGGUUGUCCAAGUUGGAUGUGAAAGCCUUGAGCUCAACUCAAGAAAUGCAUUCAGGACUGGGCGGCUAGAGGACCGGAGAGGAUAGUGGAAUUCCCAGUGUAGUGGUGAAAUACGUAGAGAUUGGGAAGAACACCAGUGGCGAAGGCGGCUAUCUGGACGGUUUCUGACGCUAAGACGCGAAAGCGUGGGGAGCAAACAGG